rnacentral:rRNA from 1 species
CCUACGGGAGGCAGCAGUGGGGAAUUUUGGACAAUGGGCGCAAGCCUGAUCCAGCCAUGCCGCGUGAGUGAAGAAGGCCUUCGGGUUGUAAAGCUCUUUCGGCCGGGAAGAAAUCGUGUUCUCUAACAUAGGACAUGGAUGACGGUACCGGACUAAGAAGCACCGGCUAACUACGUGCCAGCAGCCGCGGUAAUACGUAG